rnacentral:rRNA from 1 species
GUUCGGUCGCUCCAGAUUGAACGCUGGCGGGAUGCUUUACAUGCAAGUCGAACGGCAGCACGGACUUCGGUCUGGCGGUGGCGGACGGGUGGGUAAUGUAUCGGAACUUGUCUGCCUAGUAGCGGGGGAUAACUACGCGAAAGCCUAAUACCACGCAUACGCCCUUCGAGGAAAGCGGGGACCUUCCGGGCCUCUGCCACUAUUAAAACGGCCGAUAUCGGAUUAGCUAGUUGGUGGGAGUAACGGCUCACCAAGGCGACGAUCCGUAGCUGGUUUAAGAGGACGACCAGCCACACUGGGACUGAGACCUGGCGGAACCACCCGGGAGGUAGCAGUGAAAUUUUGGACAAUGGGGAAACCCUGAUCCAGCCAUCCCGCGUGUGCGAUGAAGGCCUUCGAGGUUGUAAAAAGCACUUUUGGCAGGAAAGAAACGGCACGGGAUAAUACCCCGUGCAACUGACAGUACCUGCAGAAUAAGCACCGGCUAACUACGUGCCAGCAGCCGCGGUAAUACGUAGGGUGCAAGCGUUAAUCGGAAUUACUGGGCGUAAAGCGUGCGCAGGCGGUUUGGAAAGAAAGAUGUGAAAUCCCAGAGCUUAACUUUGGAACUGCAUUUUACAACUACCGAGCUAGAGUGUGUCAGAGGGAGGUGGAAUUCCGCGUAUAGCGGUGGUAGUAGAUAUGCGAAGGAACACCGAUGGCGAAGGCAGCCUCCUGGGAUAACACUGACGCUCAUGCACGAAAGCGUGGGGAGCAAACGGGAUUAGAUACCCUGGUAGUCCACGCCCUAAACGAUGUCAACUAGCUGUUGGGGCCUUCGGGCCUUGGUAGCGCAGCUAACGCGUGAAGUUGACCGCCUGGGGAGUACGGUCGCAAGAUUAAAACUCAAAGGAAUUGACGGGGACCUUUAAGCGGUGGAUGGUGUGGAUUAAUUUUCGAUGCAACGCGAAAACCUUACCUACCCUUGACGUGUGGAAUCCCGAAGAGAUUUUGGGAGUGCUCGCAAGAGAACCGGAACACAGGUGCUGCAUGGCUGUCGUCAGCUCGUGUCGUGAGAUGUUGGUUAAGUCCGCAACGAGCGCAACCCUUGUCAUUAGUUGCUGAAAAGGGCACUCUAAUGAAAUUGCCGGUGACAAACCGGAGGAAGGUUGGGGAUGACGUCAGUCCUCCAUGGCCCUUAUGGGUAGAGCCCACGUCAUACAAUGGUCGGGACAGAGGGUCGCCAACCCGCAGCGAGGGGAGCCAAUCCCAGAAACCCGAUCGUAGUCCGGAUCGCAGUCUGCAACUCGACUGCGUGAAGUCGGGAGAAUCGCUAGUAAUCGCGGAUCAGCAUGUCGCGGUGAAUACGUUCCCGGGUCUUGGCACACACCGCCCGUCACACCAUGGGAGUGGGUUUUACCAGAAAGUAUUGCCGUAAGGAGGGCGAUUACCACGGUAGGAUUCACUGACUGGGGUGAAGUCGUAACAAGGUAA